GACGAACGCUGGCGGCGUGCCUAAUACAUGCAAGUCGAGCGCAGGAAGCCGUCUGAACCCUUCGGGGGGACGACGGUGGAAUGAGCGGCGGACGGGUGAGUAACACGUAAAGAACCUGCCCAUAGGUCUGGGAUAACCACGAGAAAUCGGGGCUAAUACCGGAUGUGUCAUCGGACCGCAUGGUCCGCUGAUGAAAGGCGCUCCGGCGUCGCCCAUGGAUGGCUUUGCGGUGCAUUAGCUAGUUGGUGGGGUAACGGCCCACCAAGGCGACGAGGCAUAGGCGGCCUGAGAGGGUGAUCGGCCACACGGGGACUGAGACACGGCCCAGACUCCUACGGGAGGCAGCAGUAGGGAAUCUUCCACAAUGGACGAAAGUCUGAUGGAGCAACGCCGCGUGAACGAUGAAGGCUUUCGGGUCGUAAAGUUCUGUUGUAAGGGAAGAACAAGUGCCGCAGGCAAUGGCGGCACCUUGACGGUACCUUGCGAGAAAGCCACGGCUAACUACGUGCCAGCAGCCGCAGUAA
rnacentral:rRNA from 1 species